UACGGAGGGUGCGAGCGUUAAUCGGAAUCACUGGGCGUAAAGCGUGCGUAGGCGGUUUGGCAAGUCAGGUGUGAAAGCCCUCGGCUCAACCGAGGAACUGCACUUGAAACUGCCAGACUGGAGUUCGGGAGAGGGUAGCGGAAUUCCGGGUGUAGGGGUGAAAUCCGUAGAUAUCCGGAGGAACACCGGUGGCGAAGGCGGCUACCUGGACCGAUACUGACGCUGAGGUACGAAAGCGUGGGGAGCAAACAGG
rnacentral:rRNA from 1 species